CACGUAGGGCGCGAGCGUUGUUCGGAAUUAUUGGGCGUAAAGAGCUCGUAGGCGGCCUGUUGCGUCCGCUGUGAAAGCCCGGGGCUUAACCCCGGGUCGGCAGUGGAUACGGGCAGGCUAGAGGUAGGUAGGGGAGAAUGGAAUUCCCGGUGUAGCGGUGAAAUGCGCAGAUAUCGGGAGGAACACCAGUGGCGAAGGCGACUAUCUGGGGUGCAACUGACGCUGAGGCGCGAAGGCUAGGGUAGCAAACAGG
rnacentral:rRNA from 1 species